AACGAACGCUGGCGGCAGGCUUCAUACAUGCAAGUCGAACGGGUGUAGCAAUACAUCAGUGGCGCACGGGUGCGUAACGCGUGGGAAUAUGCCCUUUGGUACGGGACAACAUCGGGAAACUGAUGCUAAUACCGUAUAAUAUCUGCGGAUCAAAGAUUUAUCGCCAAAGGAUUAGCCCGCGUUGGAUUAGGUAGUUGGUGAGGUAAAGGCUCACCAAGCCGACGAUCCAUAGCUGGUCUGAGAGGAUGAUCAGCCACACUGGGACUGAGACACGGCCCAGACUCCUACGGGAGGCAGCAGUAAGGAAUAUUGGACAAUGGAGGAAACUCUGAUCCAGCCAUGCCGCGUGAGUGAAGAAGGCCUUCGGUUGUAAGACGUCUUUACCCCUCGUACGAUAAUAGAC
rnacentral:rRNA from 1 species